rnacentral:tRNA from 1 species
GCUUUUACGGUGUUUGACACACUACAAUUUCACUGUUGGGUUGAUAAUAGAUUAUCUUAAAGUA